GACGAACGCUGGCGGCGUGCCUAAUACAUGCAAGUUGAGCGCUGAAGGUUGGUACUUGUACCCACUGGAUGAGCAGCGAACGGGUGAGUAACGCGUGGGGAAUCUGCCUUUGAGCGGGGGACAACAUUUGGAAACGAAUGCUAAUACCGCAUAAAAACUUUAAACACAAGUUUUAAGUUUGAAAGAUGCAAUUGCAUCACUCAAAGAUGAUCCCGCGUUGUAUUAGCUAGUUGGUGAGGUAAAGGCUCACCAAGGCGAUGAUACAUAGCCGACCUGAGAGGGUGAACGGCCACAAUGGGACUGAGACACGGCCCAAACUCCUACGGGAGGCAGCAGGAGGGAAUCUUCGGAAAUGGAGGGAAGGCUGAACGAGCAACGCCGCGGGAGGGAAGAAGGGUUUCGGAUCGUAAAACUCUGUUGGUAGAGAAGAAAGUUGGUGAGAGUGGAAAGCUCAUCAAGUGACGGUAACUACACAGAAAGGGACGGCUAACUACGUG
rnacentral:rRNA from 1 species